CGUUAUUACAAUACCACAUUAUAUUGUGUGUGAUACGUUACGUACUCGUUGAAACGCAAAAGCAGCGUAAGAAUGUUUUUUUAUAAAACGUUGUCUAUAGCCUCCAUCUGUGGCCUCCAUUAAUCUUUGCUGACCGUCCCCGUACAUUAUCGAUCGCAUCUCGCGUACUGCGCCCGUGGCUCACUCCCUGCAGAAUAAUGAAUGGGACGACGUCUAGUGAAACUUAUUUCUACGUUGGAAUUAAUGUUUUCCUCCACGAGUUCAUAAUUGCCUCAUUUUACGACAAUUUGUUUGUUUUUCUAUUUUUUAUGAUAAUAAGUGCACAGUUUAAUAUUGCGUUUUUGGCUAGAUUCGCGUUUUCUUAUUUGUAUUAAAAAUCAAUAAUUCACACCAAGGAUCAAGAGGAUUGGCGACACUGACUAUUUGGAACUGAUAAUUAUCCUGCCUGGGCGAGUGGCCCAAGCGUGAAUCGUUUGCUGAAUCGGAGUUCAUCGCACUACGCACUGAAUAUCUUCAUAAUUUGUAAGGACUAAUGACAAUGGUCCCUGCAUGACAAUUCUAUAACCAUAAGUGGCUUGAAGGGCCCAGAGCCGGGAAAAUAGAUAAAUACAUAAAAAUAAUAAGUCGCGGGCAAAAGUUUAUAAUUAUUAUAAAGAAGAAAGAUUUGUAUUUUUGUAUAAUAUUUAGAAGUAUUUCAUACAAAGGAUCUAGAGGACUGGCGACAUCGGCAAGUGAAAUCCUCUUGGUCCACGCAAGAUUCAAUUAUUCUACGCGUACGAAGUCACGGACAAUUGCCAGUAAUAUUUUAAAAGUGAAAUACUGUAUAUUGAACAUUUUCAUAAAGUGGAUCACCUACUUGGUCCAAGCAAGACUCAAUUAUUCAACGCGUACGAAGUCGCGGACAAAAGAGCGAGUAAUAUUUUAAAGGUGAAAUAUUGUGUGUUGAAUAUUUUCAUAAAGUGGAUCAUGUUUAUGAUCCACGCAAGACUCAAAUGUAUUAGGAUUACGAAAUAUAUUAAAUUAUUAUGUAA